GGAGGGGUCGCAUAGCGGCCGAGUGCGCACGCUUGGAAAGCGUGUAUCCUCAAAAGGGAUCGUGGGUUCAAAUCCCACCCCCUCCG
rnacentral:tRNA from 1 species